rnacentral:rRNA from 1 species
AGCGAACGCUGGCGGCAGGCUUAACACAUGCAAGUCGAACGGAUCCUUCGGGAUUAGUGGCGGACGGGUGAGUAACACGUGGGAACGUGCCUUUUGGUUCGGAACAACACAGGGAAACUUGUGCUAAUACCGGAUGUGCCCUUCGGGGGAAAGGAUUUAUCGCCAUUAGAGCGGCCCGCGUCUGAUUAGCUAGUUGGUGAGGUAAAGGCUCACCAAGGCUAC